rnacentral:rRNA from 1 species
CCUACGGGUGGCAGCAGUCGAGAAUCAUUCACAAUGGGGGAAACCCUGAUGGUGCGACGCCGCGUGGGGGAAUGAAGGUCUUCGGAUUGUAAACCCCUGUCAUGUGGGAGCAAAUCAAAAAGAUAGUACCACAAGAGGAAGAGACGGCUAACGCUGUGCCAGCAGCCGCGGUAAUACAGAGGUUUCAAGCGUUGUUCGGAAUCACUGGGCGUAAAGCGUGCGUAGGCUGUUUCGUAAGUAGUGUGUGAAAGGCGCGGGCUCAACCCGCGGACGGCACAUGAUACUGCGAGACUAGAGUGAUGGAGGGGGAAGCGGAAUUCUCGGUGUAGCAGUGAAAUGCGUAGAUAUCGGGAGGAACACUCGUGGCGAAGGCGGGUUCCUGGACAUUAACUGACGCUGAGGCACGAAGGCCAGGGGAGCGAAAGGGAUUAGAUACCCCAGUAGUC